rnacentral:SRP_RNA from 1 species
CCGUGCUAAGUGGGGAGAUAGCGGUGCCCUGUACCUGCAAUCCGCUACAGCAGGACCGAAUACCGACCCCGGCUUGAAGUAUGGGAGGUCUGCCUUGGGCAAGUACCGUUGAUACUAAGGUCUUGUGCAAGUCUGCACUGUGAACCAUGUCAGGGCUUGACCGCAGCAGCAUUAAGCAGACCGCGGAUUGUGCCACGAGGUAGCUUUAGAGGAGGCAACUGUCCCUGUUACGCUCCGGUGCUUCUUGUCAAAGUCGGUUGCACGG